rnacentral:rRNA from 1 species
UAAGGAAUAUUGGACAAUGGUCGCAAGACUGAUCCAGCCAUGCCGCGUGCAGGAAGACGGCCCUAUGGGUUGUAAACUGCUUUUGUACCAGAGAAAACCUAUCUACGUGUAGAUAGCUGAUAGUAUGGUAAGAAUAAGCAUCGGCUAACUUCGUGCCAGCAGCCGCGGUAAGACGAAGGAUGCAAGCGUUAUCCGGAUUCAUUGGGUUUAAAGGGUGCGUAGGCGGGCUUGUAAGUCAGUGGUGAAAUCUCUCAGCUUAACUGAGAAACUGCCAUUGAUACUGCAGGCCUAGAGUAUAGAUGACGUUGGCGGAAUAUGACAUGUAGUGGUGAAAUACUUAGAUAUGUCAUAGAACACCGAUUGCGAAGGCAGCUAACGAAACUAUAACUGACGCUGAGGCACGAAAGUGUGGGGAUCAAACA